rfam:Escherichia coli CFT073, complete genome.
GGGGCUGAUUCUGGAUUCGACGGGAUUUGCGAAACCCAAGGUGCAUGCCGAGGGGCGGUUGGCCUCGUAAAAAGCCGCAAAAAAUAGUCGCAAACGACGAAAACUACGCUUUAGCAGCUUAAUAACCUGCUUAGAGCCCUCUCUCCCUAGCCUCCGCUCUUAGGACGGGGAUCAAGAGAGGUCAAACCCAAAAGAGAUCGCGUGGAAGCCCUGCCUGGGGUUGAAGCGUUAAAACUUAAUCAGGCUAGUUUGUUAGUGGCGUGUCCGUCCACAGCUGGCAAGCGAAUGUAAAGACURACUAAGCAUGUAGUACCGAGGAUGUAGAAAUUUCGGACGCGGGUUCAACUCCCGCCAGCUCCACCA